CGGGCUGAGUCGGGUCCUGUGGACGAGGCCUGGCCCGCAGAGGCCGCUGUGUCUCUGCACACAACGGCUGUCCAGGCCAGAGCAGCCAUAGUGUAGCCUGGAGCCCCCCCACCGCUCCCAGGGAGGGGAGGGGCCGCCUGAGAUCCCUCAGGAAAGACUGGAUUCCAGGAGGCCUGACCCUCCGAGGGGAACUCGUGUGCUGCCCACCUGCUUCCUGCCGGGGACUGUCGGCCACUGAGCCUUCCAGGACCGGAGCUGCAGGGGCGACGCAGCCAGAGGCUGAGAAGCAGAUUCUCCCUUCUGAGGGUCGGUUAAAGCUCAAAACCAGAGGCCUCCGUGGACCCCCACCUGUUUUUCCAAGCCCACCGUCCCUCCACCUCAUCUUCCGCCGUCCCAUUGCCCGCCAGCUCGUCAUUCAGCAUGGAUUUCCUGAGCCACCCCCAGGCACCAGCACCAUGGCUCAGGCGAUGUGCAGACAACAAAGAAAGAAAAUACGGAGACCUGCACGGAGUAAAGCUCACAGUCCGGAGCCUGAAUCCGCCGGCGGCGCAACAGGGGCCAGUUCAGAGCAGGCUGGUCUCGUCUCCUCCGGCCACCGCCCUCCCUCCCGGUCACUUGCAGGCAAUCCCCUGACUCCGCGUCAUCUGCCCCGGAGCCUCAGUACACAGGGCAUGUGGGGCCUCGGUGACCCUGAGGUCCAGUGCGUGCCCAGGAGGAAGGGCAAGCACUCAACUCUGUCCCUUUCUGAUUUAUUUUAUUCCUUUUCAGAAUAAUGAGCCCUAGCCUCCGACCAAGGCCCAGUGAGAAUUCUGUAGUAUUCUUUUAAAUAAAAUGGAUUUUAAAGAUAUUUGGUACA
rnacentral:lncRNA from 1 species